GCUGGGCAUGGUGGUGCAUGCCUGUAGUCCAAGCUACUUGGGUGGCUGAGGUGAGAGGAUCACUUGAGCCUGGGAGGUCAAGGCUGCAGUGAGCUGUGAGGUGCCACUGCACUCCAGCCUGGGUGAACGAGUGAGACCUUAUCUCUU
rnacentral:SRP_RNA from 1 species